UACAGAGACCUCAAGCGUUAUCCGGAAUCAUUGGGCGUAAAGCGUACCGAUAGGUGGUUUUGCAAGUCAGGAGUGAAAUCUCAAGGCUCAACUUUGAGACUGUCUCUUGAAACUGCACAACUAGAGGGGCAAAGAGGAAGCUGGAACGAACGGUGUAGUAGUGAAAUGCGUUGAUAUCGUUCGGAACACCGAUAGCGAAGGCAGGCUUCUGGGUGCCACCUGACACUGCUAGGACGAAAGCGUGGGGAGCGAAUGGG
rnacentral:rRNA from 1 species